AGUCCCAUUAUAAUGCGCCCGCAACGGGACCGUACCUAAUAAGCAAGGCGCGGGUAAUUACGUCCCAGCAGCCGUUUUUAAUAGGUAGGUGGCAAGUGUCGUCCGGAAUUAUCGGAAUAGAGGGCUCGCAGGCUGUCUAUUAAGUAUGAUGUGAUAGCCCGCGGCUCACCCGGGGAGGGUCAGUGGACAGUGGGGAACUUGAGUGCAGAAGAGGAGAGUGGAAUUCCACGUGUAGCGGUGAUAUGCGUAGAGAUGUGGAGGAACACCAGUGGCGAAGGCGACUCUCUGGUCUGUAACUGACGCUGAGGAGCGAAAGCGUGGAGAGCGAACAGGAUUAGAUACCCUGGUAGUCCACGCCGUAAACGAUGAGUGCUAAGUGUUAGGGGGUUUCCGCCCCUUAGUGCUGCAGCUAACGCAUUAAGCACUCCGCCUGGGGAGUACGGUCGCAAGACUGAAACUCAAAGGAAUUGACGGGGGCCCGCACAAGCGGUGGAGCAUGUGGUUUAAUUCGAAGCAACGCGAAGAACCUUACCAGGUCUUGACAUCCUCUGACAAUCCUAGAGAUAGGACGUCCCCUUCGGGGGCAGAGUGACAGGUGGUGCAUGGUUGUCGUCAGCUCGUGUCGUGAGAUGUUGGGUUAAGUCCCGCAACGAGCGCAACCCUUGAUCUUAGUUGCCAGCAUUCAGUUGGGCACUCUAAGGUGACUGCCGGUGACAAACCGGAGGAAGGUGGGGAUGACGUCAAAUCAUCAUGCCCCUUAUGACCUGGGCUACACACGUGCUACAAUGGGCAGAACAAAGGGCAGCGAAACCGCGAGGUUAAGCCAAUCCCACAAAUCUGUUCUCAGUUCGGAUCGCAGUCUGCAACUCGACUGCGUGAAGCUGGAAUCGCUAGUAAUCGCGGAUCAGCAUGCCGCGGUGAAUACGUUCCCGGGCCUUGUACACACCGCCCGUCACACCACGAGAGUUUGUAACACCCGAAGUCGGUGAGGUAACCUUUUUGGAGCCAGCCGCCGAAGUGACAGAGG
rnacentral:rRNA from 1 species